UUUAUGCGCAUAAUUACGCCACGGUAAUGGUUUAGAUUACACCACUUAUUGCGCGAUUAAUAACGCCGUCGCGUUAGCGCGCCGCGGGCUGUGAUUUUGCUUGGCCGUCUCGAACAUCCCCGGUUUUUCUUCGCGGCGCCACUGAAAAAUCUAUGGUGAAUCUUUGAGAAAAGAAAUGAUGUUUAGAGCGCUCGUGGGAGGAAGAGAAACGAUCGAAACAAGACGAACACAGAGACAGAGCGAAGGGAGGAAGAACACAAAAGUUCUGUCCAAGAACGGAGGACGGAGAGAAGAGAACCAAAGUGGAGUCAGGGGGAUGAGAACAGCUCAGCGAGAACAUCUCUACGAGUUUCUCCUAAUAAGGGGCUCGUCUUAUCGCCGCCACUAAUCGACCUGGCCUUACUGGGACACGAAAUAGACUCUCCGAAACCUGGUCGCCGCUUUUCCCCGCCGUACAAUUUGUUAUUUGCCUGGAAACGGAUGGUCGUGGGUAUCGUGUCGCGGCUGUGAUCGGGGACGAAUCGUGCCGUAAGGCUUGAAUGGGAUACUGCCCACUUGGUUCGAUAUAGAAGGACAAUGACGAGGUGUGUGGUAGAAAGCGACUAUGGCAGAUUGCCCAGAGAAAUUGGCUGGUAAGUUGGUUGCAGUGUUAGCAAGUUUGAGAUUGGGGGAUACGAGUGAGAAAGUUCGAGAAUUUAGCGAUGAAAGUUGGGGGAUUAGGUAGGUAAGUGUUACGAUAAGCGGCUAUGAUAGCAGAGGUUUAGAGAAUGCGUAAGGGAAAGUAUACAGGAACCACUGUAUAUCAGGAAAAUGGAUAAAUUAACUUAAAUUGUCUAUAAUAUUAUAGUAACAUUUAAUAGUUUGAGGAAAAGUACGAGAACUAUUAUCAGUGUCUUCUAAUGUAGUAAUGUAUUAAUUAUUAAUAUUAUUAAUUAUCAUCUAUGACGUUCGAGAGGUUUAAAGAAUGCAGAAGCAAACAUGGAAAACUUUAUAAGCUAACUAUUCAGUAUCAUCAAUUUUCUUAAUUUGAUGAUAAUUUUAAUCCCUCUGAAUGAGCUACUUUAAUAAUUCUCAUUUUUUCUAGGAACGUAUACAAGGAGCAUAUACAGGUUAUAGAUUGUAGACUUUUGUUUUCUUCACAGUUUUAUAAUUUUGCAAGUCACAAGUAAAGCUGAAUAGACGAAGAUAAGAUCAAUUACUAGGAUAAUCUUCUGACAUGUAAUUAUUAAAAUAUAUUUCUAAAACUUGUUUUGUUGUCCACUUUGUUGUUAUUAUGCAAAGGAAUUUAUUAGUUUAGCAACUCGUGAAAUUUCACAAAUAGUAUCAAUUCCUAAAUCUCUAAAUAACUGAAAAACACAUAUUCAUACUCUGAACAUGUUUUAUACAACAUGUCUAUCAACUCGCAUAAAGCAUAUCUACAAACACUCCAGAAACUGGCGACACAUAUUCGGAAAAAAUGAAGACGACACUGAAACGACCAAGUAGAAAUAAACGAAUCUCAAAAAGCAAUCAGAAGAAGAUACAACGAUAUAACGUUGAAGUAAGUCUCAGUGCACAUCAAUAGUACGCUGCUCAUUGCAGCCACGUAGGCUUGUUAUAACUGAUUUAUGUUUAAUAUAAUUGCGCCAAUAUUCUGAGAACUUGUCAGCUAUACCAAAAAGUGUCGAGUGAUGAAUGAUGCUCGACGCUGCCCGCUACACACAGCUCCCUCCCAGCAAGAAGACGAUGACGACUAACCGAGAGAAACAUAUUGAGAAAAGUAGUUAGAGAAGAACAGAGAAAAGUGAGAGAGGACUCAAGAGGAUCGCAAGACCCGUUGAGGCAGAGUUUCAAGCUUCUCGCGUCAAUGUUACAUCGCAUGACGUCGAAGACUUCACGACGUUGAUGGUCGAAUAGUUCGUCAACAAAGAGAAGAUAGCAACUUCUGACCUAAGCUAUAUGGUAGGCUGGCUCGUGCACAACUAGCUAGGCGUAAUCGUAAUAAAUCACGAGCGACGAUAGUCGGUCAGCUUUUCUGCAAACAUUCUUAUCAGAACGGUUGCUUGUACGAGCAGCCAUCUAGAGGCACGAGCAGUUCGGCAGCGUCGCGACUGUCUGUCGACAUCAAAAGCCAGUCUUGAACGGGCCCGACGAGUCCGUCCAGCGCGCGUCAACGAUGAUAAAUUGCUGGCCUAGCUCGAACCUCUGUAUGAUCUACACAGAGGCAUCGGCGCCCCGGCGCCACUCUCGUUUCUGCAACCCCAGGGUCUUGCCUCGAGUGGGAAAUUCAAGAACCAUCGCGUAAUGCUCCGUUUCUUUCACUCGUUUCGCGUACCUGUUCCACGAGAUACGAAUCUCGCGCUGCGAUCGUGAAUCGUUAGCGUUUCCACGAAACCAUCGAAUAAAUUGUCACGGUGAAACCGAGCCGCUGCCUGACUUGAUCUAUCGUUCGUAGAAACUUUUCCAGUAGCUACGUGUGGUACGUUGAAUAGGUUUUUCUCGCGCCACAAUUGACAACACACGCGUCGCCUAGCAUCUACUCUCGCUAGACCUCCUGCAUUCAUGGCCUGUUAAAUUCAACUUUAUGAUCGUCUAUGCGUCACUUCUCGCGCGGUUGGCUAAGCUUUUCUUCGUGUAAACAAACGUGAUGCAAGGGUUCGAGAAUUGAGCAGGCCUCAACAAAGACUACUUUCCUGAACCUCGCGUGUGUCGGUCUCGGUGCAACUCGCGGCGAUGACAUCAGGGGUCACGCGGCUACUUGACCCGCGGCUGUUUUCCAUAAUAUGGUCAAUUAGCGCAUGUCGGGCCAGUGUCGAGUGGACAUUCUGUCUUUCGUACGGGUUUCUAUGGGAAUGAAUUUAUCACGGAAUUGUGUGGUUCUUAAUUUGUUCUUUAUUAGGUCGUGUUUGCUAGUAUACGUACGUUAAUCAUUUUGAUAGUUUAUUACAAGAAGAUUAUUAUUGCUAAGAAUAAAUUGCAUAUAGCCUUUGUUUGCGAUAUUUAUUGAUACUUAUGAGCUAUUUGAAAAACAAACAGAGCGAUAUCUCUUGAAAAUUUCGUAUCUUUUGCAUCAGAAUGCGUGGCUAGUGUUUAGUUUCUCAGAAAUGAAGAAAAUAUACAUGUUCGUAAUUAACGUAUCCAUCAUAGGUGUCACCAACCGUGUGUCUAAUGACUGAUACGUAUAGACCAUCGAUUCUUAUCAAAACACUUUUGAGCUGAAAGAAAGAUCUUUACGAACAAAGGACUUUGCCUGUGUACAAAUUUUCAGGAACCUCAUCUAAUUAAAUAUGGAUGUUUUAACUUGAACGAAGUGGAACAGCUCGGCUCCUGUGUCACUUAUACAAUUAAUGUCUUUUUUGACUUCAAACGAGCAUACGAUUUAUAAUGAUAUCUUGUAAGCAAAUUGUUGAAUAUUCGUUUGUUCCUUUUCAAUGCAAAUUUGACAUUUCAGUAUAAGAAGAUUUUCAAUUUAUGUCGAAUUGUUUUACAAGCAUUGCAUACUUCGUAUGCAAUUGACAUCCAUGUACAAAUUGCAAUAUGGAAAUGCCUGUAUGUAUUUUCUUCAUAACCAGCUCGUAGGCGUAUGCCGAUAAGGCUAGAAAAUGUCCUUUUUCAACUCAUAUUUAUACAUUAAAAUAAGCUGUAUUUUAACUCUAUUGCAAUCCUCGAAUUUUCAUAUUUCAACCUUGUUACACAAUAAAAAAAAUCCUAUGGUAUUCGAAACACAUAUCAGGACAAAAAUAUAGCCGUUUGUGCAUACUCGCAUCCAUCUCCGCAACCCAUAUCGUGAAGAAUUUUAAUACGAACGUGAAUGUAUUGUAAUGUUACAAAUUAAAUCAUGAUAUCAUAUAAACAUGGCGUUACGUGAAGUAUGACAAAACAACAAUAUUAAUCGCAUUAUUUAAUACCGUAACACGUAUAAAAUUUGUUCGAAAGAAACGAAGAUGUAGAGAAUAUGGAAAAAUAUAUAUUGCAAUGAGAAAAACACUCGUUUAUAUUUUAUAAAAGUUCUCACAAAUUCACACAAAUACACAGCUAAAAAUUUUCCAAAUUUCUAUCGAAAAUAACGAAUUGGACAUUUUGACCACUUCGCUAAUUCCAGUAUUCAACCCAAAAAGAUACACUUCUUAGAAUAAUUCAAUUCUCUGUAAACUUUUGAAAAUGUCCAACCACCUACGACGAAUUUAAUUAACACCAUAGAGGAUAUAACGCGCGGUGGCACGACAUUAUCAAUAAAAUGUCAAGCAAAACGACUAAACGUUCAAUUUAGCAUCAACAACGCAGAGAAAGCAACGCGUACAAUGUACCGAAAGGCUUAGCAAGUGAUCAGCGGAUCAGGUAAUGAGUGAUUAACAUUUCACCGUUAACGAACCACUCGUUACCUGGUCAGCCGGUUCAGCUCAUUAUUCGACGAAAUUAUCAAACUCCUGAUGGCCAAUAUCAAAACAAACUACAUGCACGAUCAGCAGUACGUGAACGUGACGUUUACAACGUUUAAAAUCGUGAAACGAGUUAUCCCUCUUCGUAUACGUUCGCUAUGUUAAUGAGCCUCUCGUUAAGAAACAAGAAAGCGCUGGAAUGCGCGCGAUAACUGACAUUUACGAAACAACCAUACGAAACGAAAAUCGAUACGCUGUGGCAUUAACGAGCCAUUAAUAUGUCAUCAUUAACGACGUGUUAGAAACUACAUGAAUAGGCACAACCCUUGUCCCGAUUAAGAAUAAACCAGAGAUUGACUUUCCCUGCAGCGACACGAUUUCGACGUGGUAUUCUCCUUAUCUACGUCAACGUCGUGUCUUGUUCAAGAUUUCUUAGCGCUAGCCGGAUGUGGGUGUUUGUUCGUGGUAUUAAUGAAGCUUGUAACGUGGUAUGGCUGGUUAGGAGUGAACGUUGAAUCUUCUGUUAACCCUGUCACGGAUCUCUUGUCGUUUUUGACUCAAGUGUUAAUAAAUUCUCAUGAAGAGAUUGUUGGUGGUAUACCUUGACGUGUAAAUUGAUUCUGUGCCUUUCACAGUGAUAUUUAAAUUUUAUUUAUGGUUUGAUCAUGAAAUAAUUUCAAACCAAAUGACAGAUAAAGUUUCUUUGAUAUUGUUAUAGGACAGUAACCUAUUAGAAAGCGGUAUACGCUUAAUGUUUUGUUAUCUCGAGUUUAUAAUAAAUCUUCGCUUUUCUUAAGACUCCAUAUAAGAUUCAAGAUAACAAGGCAAACAUGCGAGUUGGGUUAAAACAACUUUUCUGCAUAACACAGUAAAAUUACAUGUAAUAUAAUACAAGGUUCUUUUAUAGAUAUUUCAAUCAAUCAUUUGACGUUCACAAUCGCGACAUAUACAGGCACAGUUAUACGAUUAUCUUAAAUAUUUUUGCUCAAUAAUUUCGCUUAUUUUACAUCUCCACAAUUCACAACUAAGGUUAUAAUAAAUAUAUCAUAUUUCAUCAUUAGUUAUUUUUUCUAAUUAAAAAAUUAAAAAUUUUACUCGUAGGUAAAGGAAAAUAUUUACGAUAAGGAUUUAAAAUUUGGAAAUUGAUUUACUUCGUUGACAAACUUAAGAAAUUCUAUUAAUUUUCAAACUUUUUUCUUAUGAUUUCUCAGAAAGUUACUUCAAAAGACUAUCCAUUUUCUCUCCGUAAAUCGCUACUCAAAUCCUAAUCGAAUUUCGAUGUCCAACUUCUAAAAAUUCGCUGUGUAUUCCAAUAUUCCAUUGCCUAACAAUUCUCUUUACAAGCUUCGAUGACCAAGCAAAGUAGCAACGUUGUACACAUUAUGCGAGAGCGUGUAUUCCCUUUGCCACCCAGGCGAGCGAUUCCGUUUCAAUGGUUACGUAACUACGCGUAGAGGAGACGUUUUCGUUCGAGUCAGCCAGAGAAUUCGAUGUUCGACCGAUAAUUACAUGCAAAGAAGCUCGCGCGCUGGCUACCUCGCGGAGACACUUCGGCACGUAGCGUAGACGGGGCGGUAAUGCGUAUGGACAAUUUGACAUUUGCAAAUAGGGCAUCGCUUGUAUUCAGUGGUCGUAUCGGCGAGCAGCCAGCGUACGUGCAAAUUACUCUGCCGCGUAGGCGGAACAACGGGUUGAUGCAACGUGAAGCACGAAAGUAAAGUCGCUGUUGUGGCCAUGGAAUCGGAAUGAAAACGCUUUGAUUGCUCGAUUCUCGUUCGAAGCAGGCCACGAAUGGAUACAACAACUUUUAUACGAUUAAUACAAGCAGUGUAUAUUGGAAUAUUAGCUUUAACCAUGAAUUUUUCUUUUUUACUUGUUAUUGAGCAGAUGAUAUAGAAGAAUAUUUUUCUGAUUUUGGCUCAUUAUUGGCUUAUUAUGACAAUGACAAACAAUAAAUUUAUUUCACGGAUGAAUUAUUCUACUUGCAUACAAAACUUUAUCUAAUUUUCUCAAUUUCUAUAUUAUCUAACUUUUCUUGUCACAUAUGUACGUAGCAUUUUCUAAAGUCAGUUUUUCACACGAAGGUGGACAGAUGUCCGGCAUCGACGAAAUAUUUCGCCAAUACCUGCGCGUUUCUGUAGAACACGAGCAAGAUUGGUAGCGAAAGCCUGUCCUGCGGGGCUUAUCGAAAGUUAUUUAUGUCGCAUACGGUAGCUACUCCGCGUGUACGCGGCAGACUGCACGCGUGCACGUGCUACCGAAAAUUCCGUCAACACCCACGCGCGGCCCAAGAGCACCUGGCCGACGCGAUAAAAACACCGAGGAAAGAGAGAGUAGUCGGAUCUUGAUAAACUCGCAGACAUCGCGAAUCCGCUGAUAAAUCUGUGGCAACAACUUCGCGAAUUUUAGUUGCCUUAUUUUAUUUUAGUGCUUCCAUCUGUUUAAUGUUUCUAUCUGCGAAGAAAUUACCAACAAACAUACAGUAAUUUAAGAAAGUGAAAGUUUUAGAAUACAAGUCAAACCGAUCAAUUGUAUCGAGAUUAAUAGAAACAAAAAUGAGAAAAAUUAAUCAAACAUUGCUUAAAUAUUCUGAAUAAAAUCAAGAGAUUUUUAGAAAAUUAAGUUUUCUUUCAAUUUGUAAAAAUCAAUUUGUUCGAUGAUUUGUAAAUGUAGUUUUAUAUUGUAAAAUGAAGAUUUUGUUUUCCUGCGGAAACCUACUGGGACUUCAUUUAUUAAAAUGAGCAAAUUAGUGCUGAAUUAACUAAACUCCUAUACAUUGAAUCCAUUCAUCUGAACUCCUAUUAUUCAUCUCGACUCAUAUUAUUUGAACGAGAAAUCACAGGUAGGGGACACAAUUGGUUAGCUCCUAUUAUAUGAACUACAGUUGUAUGAAUUGUUUAUUCCCUGAUGGGUUCAGAUAAAUGAAAUUCUGCUGUAAAUAGAGAUCAAAUAUUUCUCUUCUAUUGGAACUAAUAUAUUUGUCGAUUUUAUACAUAUGUAUUAUGUACAUAAUACUAUUGGAAGAUGAUAAAAGGAAGACGAGAUUGAAAAAUAAUUCAGAGGUGAAUGAAUUAAAAUCAUAAAGAUUUAAAAUAAGAUUUGCAAAUAUACGAUACGAUAUGUAAUUCAACAGAAAUAUUAAAUGUUCACCAUGCGAAUCAAUACUUAAAAUUGAAGCUCGAAUAUAAUAAUAAGGAAAGUUAUUGAGAGUAGGUAUCUUUAUAUAGAAAUUACAUUAUAAAAUAUAAUAACUCUAUUAGGGGAGAAUUAAGAGAUUCUUUGCCUCUCAAAGUACGAUAAAAAGAUUAAAAUAACUAAGAAAAUCUAAUAAGAGACUUUCAAAUCUUACUUCCAUUGUUAAUAAAAAAAUCCCAGUAGAAAAUCCCAUCUGUACCAUAAGUACAUGAUUACUUUUUUAUUGCAUAUACGUUAUUUGAUUAUCCAGAAUCUUUCAAGAUAAGACUUCAGAUCCGAGGUCCUAGAGAAACUACGUACACCUAGAUCCUAUCUAACGCAACAGCCUGCCCUUACAACUCACAAUUUUCCGCAACUUUAUCAGCCAAAAAAUUACCAUUUUCACGGACCAUCUCUCCUAGCAGCCUUUUAUCGAGAAUCGAUCAUCCUUCGUCUAUUUAAGAAGAUUCCACAGAAAACACGCACGGCGAGCAAUUUCAUCGAGUCGUAAGCUUAAGAAUGUAUCGGCGGAUCGUCAAGGUCGACAAUGGCAAAGGGCAGGGUGCACGAUUCCCAAUGAAUCCACGAUGCGUUGAAUCGCAUAUUUACGGGACACUGUCGCUGGACAGUUUCGUUUUAUGACGAGUAUCUCGCGAUGCCGUAUCCUCCUGGAGGAAACGUGAAAGAGGAAAAGAAAGAGCAGAUGGAAAAUAAAGAGGUGUCGGAGCAAGGAGGGCUCGAAGCUCGCGGGUAAUGGAACACGUCGGUGUUGGCUAUCUAGCCGCACCCGCCACUAAAUCACGAGAUAUUACCAGCAUUGUGCUCACAAUCAGUCGUAAUACCCACCACCGACACGAUACGACCCCGUGUCAGAAUAUACCACGAUCGUCUGGCUUGGUUACCGUCGAUUUCCGAUUAUUAUUCGUGGCGGACGAUCAUCGGUGCUCUGGCACGACGGUUAGCAAUUGCACGCCAGCCUCGUUCGGCCAUUCGUAAAUCCGUACCGGUUUUCGCGAAACGAAACGAGAAACGCGCGGCGAGAAACGGAUAAACAAGUCGAGAGGAUGCGUUUGCGCCGGGUCGAAGAAAAGUAAAGGAAGAUGAGAUUCGAUUGGAAAAUAAAAAGCCUGCCUCGGAAUGCGUUCGUUGUUCCAAGACCAGUUCUCCAAUAAGCAAGUGAGCGGCUGUUCGACGUUUUGACGUAUGUACGCAUUUUUUGAGACACGUUUUACUAAAUGCGAAGAAGUUUCUUUUAUUAGGAUACGUUCCGUGAAUGUUUGUGUCUGGGGGCAAGGGAUGGCUCUUGAACUGGUUUUGGGAGUUAUAUUAAUGAUUCGUUUCACGAACUUCAUUUCGUUCAAAAAGCAGAUUGCAAGGUAAUAAGUUGGUCACUUGCGCUUCAGGGCACAAGGCGGGUCUUUGAGCCGAUGUUGGUAGCUAUGUUAAUGAUUCCGUCGAGAAACUUUAUUUUAAUAACGAAACGAAUCAUAAGACAUUUGCAUUGAUUUGAAAGAUUUCUGUCGUCAGGUUAUCGUGUACGUUUACAAUUUUAUUUGGAGACAAUUGGAGAUAAUUAAGCUGCGUGUUUCAAUCAUUGAAAUAUUGGUUAUGGAAAGAAGAUACAAUAUCGUCAUGGGGAUUAUGCGUUGCUGAAAAUUCACAAUCCAAACGAAAACCAACCAAGAAUGAUCCCUCUGCAAAUCUAAGUAAAAUGUACUGAAUUUAUUACGCUUAUUAUCACUGUAAUUUCUUACAACAGCGCAACCACGCGAUAUAUUAUUAAAAUAAAAAUGUAAUUUAUCACGAUAUUAAGCGUUCCAUUCACAUUGCUUCGACAUAGCCAGAAAUAUUGUCAUAAAUGAGCAAUUUUCUUUGAAAGGGCUUGGAACGUCGGCAUAUUUUCUCCGUAGAAAAUUCGUGUGUACGGUUGCAUCGUUGACGACGAUGAAGUGCGUCAUAAAAUGGUAACGAGGAUCAGUAUCGUGAUAAUUAAGCAAAAGGUCGAAAGUGAGAGUGAAAAGUUUUACGAGCGAGGUGACGCAGAUACGCAUUUAUCGGGCAGCAAGUACGAAGUUCGUCGCAAUGAAAUUCAUGGAAUUCAGGAGGUCACGCCCAAAAAGUCUACGACUGCCGCGCGUUUGGGUAUUCUGAUGAUAGCAGGGCGCAGCAGCUGCGCUGAUAACGUCGUAUGAUAAAUAGACGCAUUCGCCGCACGUGACUGGUUGCUAAUAAAUUCGAUGACGCUUUUCUGUGUGCCAUCGUGCAAGGACCGUUCUAAAUACAAAAAUGAAACAGAAAAAGACCGGCGGAGAUAAAAAUAGAAGCGUUGGAAAACACUGAAUUUUCGUGCAAUUUAAACUUGUCACUCAAAUAUAAUGGAUUGAUAAUUUAGCUGGUCAAUACUAA